rnacentral:misc_RNA from 1 species
AAGUGCACGCCCGUCUAGCGAGAGUGGUCGUGGCAAGGCCUUUCCACCUCUCUCCCUUCUUUUCUCCCUCGCCUGAUCUUGCUGUGCGCGGCCCUGCUGCUCGUUCCAUUGCUGACAGGGCGCGGGGCUUUGCCCUGCUGCAGUCCUCACCCCACCCUCCCGGCGGACGCACACAGGUGACACAGCCACUCGUCUGUGCGCACCGGUGCGUCUUCCACGCGCGUUCGAGUGUGCCCGCAGCUUUCCUCUGCUGGGAGGACGUAAAGUAUCUGCUGCGGCGCACAAGCAUUGCUGUGAUCGUAUCGUUACCAAUCUUCACCGCCGUCGCUGCCGUCGGUGCCCCUCCGCUCUAUCAGUCACCCGACAUCCCCGCCCCCCCCCUUCCCACGCCUUCGCUGUGCUGCCGCCCAGCCAGCGCGAUAGCGAAGUGGGCGCGGUAAGAGGGGCGCAUCGGCGACCACGUCUCUCUUCUCUUUUCCUGAGUGGAGCGCGUGUGCCGGCGCUCACCUCGACUGCUGAGCGAGGCAGCGGCCAGCGCUGCCGUCUUUGCAGGCGCGGCGCUCACGCAAGCACAGAGACACACUUAGCGGCACAGUGAGUUGCCCCACGCUUGUCGGCAUGAAGGGCGUCAGUCUACGCCGCCAGCAGCGGCACAGUCACCAGCCGAGCGUCUCGCAGGGCAGCGACGCGCCGGUGUCGCUGGUGUUCCGCACCCACGGCGACAGCCUCUCGAAGGCUGCCUUUCUCUUCUGCCCAAAGAACUUUAACUUGACCAACCCCGUCACCGCAACAGGCUCGGCAGCAGCAGCGGCGGUGCCGUCAGCCUCGUCGUCCGCCUCGCUUUCGUCCGUCAGUGGUCUGCCUGCCCAGCCGGCGCGGCACGGCGUCACCGCGUCGCCGCCGUCGGCAGGCCCGCAUGAUGGAAAGCGCUUCACCAGCGCAGUGUCGUCCAGUGCCGCCGAGAGCGUGCAGACUCUCGUCGAGGCCAUCGUGGAGCUGCGCCCCUCCUUCUCCCAACCUUUUCACCACAGCCACGGCGCCUGUGGCGGUGGGAUGGGAAGCAGCCACAAUCUCUCUGGCCUGACCGCCGGCAGCCCGCUCACGAGCGGCACUGGUGACGGAACCACCGGCUUCCUCGGCUUCCCCGCACACACGCCAAGCAACUCCUCAGUCGGGAUUGGCUCCUAUGUUGACUUGAUGGCGCUGUCGUCCUUCGUUUCUCCGCCCUCUGGCGGCAGCUUCGCCGGUGCGAACGGCGCUGAGGGCGGCGGCAUGGCGUUCGCGCCGUCUGUAGGAGCCAGCCGCAACGGCGAGUCGUUGCACACCUCCGCCGCGUCGCCGCGGCAGGGUGGUGCUGCCGGCUUCAAUGCCGGCAUGCUGGGCAGCUCCAGCUUAACGAGCAUCCCAUCGCUGAGCGGCGUGCCAAACACGACUGCUGGUGCUGCUGGCGCUGGCAGCGGAGCCGCAGGCGGCUCCGGCGUUGCGUCUGGCGGUGGCGUGGCGGGGGCCGGUGAGCUGUGCUUCCUUAUGCACCCCUCUGGUGGUUGGAUAUGCCGCGCCAUGGCGUUUAACGAGAAAGAGGUGAGCCACGCGAAUGGUGCUAUCAGCGUUAACCAGUCCCUCACGUCCAAGUGCGCGCUCAUUAACGAGGUCGCCAAGGGCAAGAUCAUGGCGCGCAUCCUGAGCUCGUACCAGUAUGUGCAGGAGCGCUACGGACUCUCAUACGUGGAGGUGACCGUGGACAACCAGUACCUUGGCCGCUCCGACAUGUUUCUCAUAUCGGAGGCGCUGCGGGAGCGUAUCCUGUACGAGGGCGAGGAGAUGCACGUCUGCGGUUUCCGCAUUCGCGUGCGCGAGAUGCUGCAGGAGGUGGUGAGCACGUCGAACACGGCGCCAAGCAGCGCCGCCACCUCCCUUGUGCCUCCCGCGUUCUCCGCCUCCUUGCCGGGCGUGAGUGCGUCACCGGCAGCCGUGCCAUCCGCAACCGCGACACCUGCUGGCGUAGCCUCUUCCGGUGGCACUACCGGCACUGCAGCUUCUGGCGUUAGCGCUUCGGGGAACGCCAUGAGCAUCGGCGCCGGCGCCGCGGGGGCUGCCGGGACCGCUGCGGCAUCAGCGGCGGGCGCCAUCGCGCACAUUCGCGUCGGCCAUGGCAUUGUACUGCCCACCACCCGCAUCAACUUCCAGUCCCUGUCGCCGGUUCACUACAUCCUCCUCGAGCUGUCGCGUGAGAUGUGGGAGACGACGAUGGACGGCCGCAUAGCGCUCACCUUGGCCAUCCGAAAAUUCCUCAGUGAGCUGCUGCUGAAGCAGCUACCGAAACACAAAGCCUCCCCGCUUAUCUGCGUCGUCUUCACAGGACGACUGCGCAAGGAGUUCCAGUUCAGCCGACACAGCGACGUCUUUCACCUGCUGGAGUUGCCGCGAGAUCUGCGCAGCAACGUCGACAUUGUGGAAGAGAUCCGCAUGCACUGCGAGGCGCUUGUGGAUCGCGUGCUGCGGGAGGUGCAGGACUCCGCUUGGCGGCAGCUGGAGGCCGAGGCGCGGGCGUACCGCGAGGCCGCCGCGGCGCCCCACUCGCGCGCUAGCGGGGCCAAGGGUGCGGGAUGUAGACUAGCGAACGACGGCGACGACCUGGACACCGACCCGCACUUGCUUCGAGAGAGGGAGGGGUGCGCUGCUGCUGCUACGACCAGCGUCCCAAACCAGUUCCCGCCAGCGAGCGAGACUCUGAAGCGGGGCCGCGCCAGCGCAGCCUUUUCCGCCGCCACCGCUGCCACAGAAGCCACCUUUGACGCCUACGUGCGAUCGCGCCAGCAGUACAUCGAGAGCAUCACGGCGAAGAGCUUGUUUGUGCACGCGAAACAGUCGAACACGCUCGAGGCACUCAGCAUCCUACUGGAGCGGUGCACUCACAACUACAUUGAUCGCAAUCUCACGCUCUGCGGACACGCUGUGACGGUGGUGUCGGCCGGAAAGGGCUUCUACCAAGUCACGAACAAUCUUGUGCAGGUUGUGUGCGCUCGGCUGCACGACACAGGGCUGGAGAAGGUUCACGUCGUCUGCAUCGGCCGCCCUCCGCUACACGUGACGCCGCUGCUCGAGUACACGUCCGACGAUGACACGCUGCGGUCGCAGUACCAUCUGCACAGCUGUGUGCUGUCGGGUGUCGGCGUCGGCGCGCGGGGCAUGAGUGGCGGCGCGCCUACGCCAUCAUUACCCUCAGGGGAGGCGGAGCGCUACUAUGAGACCCCGGAGUGGAUGUUCGUCUUCUUCUUCCACGCUUCUCUUCAAUAUAAAAGCGGCGGCGAGACGGUCUUCGAGCUGCUGCCGAAGGAGUGCUGGCUGCGGGAGCACUCGGUGAUGGCGGCGCUCGAGUCGCUGUGGCCGACGCCGCCAGAAUCGCAGCAACAAGCGCGGCAGCAGCAGUCUCGGGUGUACUCGGCGUCGACGCUGUUGUCUGGUGGUGCGGCCGCUGACGGUGGUGAGGAGGGUGGCAGCGCCUCCGCCGGAGCGGACGCGACGACCGGCAUGAGCAGGGGGGGCGGGGCCGCUGCGGCUGCCGCGAUGAUGGGCUCGUGCGGAAGCCCCAGCGUUGCUGCUGGAGAGCUGCCCCUUCCGGGCGGCAACCCACCUCUGCUCAUUCCCGGGCUGGGGCUGCGCUCCUACCCCGUGCCCGAGGUGACGCUUCCGGUGCAUCCUCACUCUGCCAAUCUACUGCUGUACGCUGAUGGCUGGGGCGCCGGCACACCGGAGCCACAACACGUUGUCCUACCCGCUGGGGCGGCCGCUGGCUUUGCCGUCGCUUCAGGCGGCAUAGGAGGUGGGCCUUCUCAGCCUCCUGUCCCCUUGCACUUGCAGCCCUUUUUCGCCGAACCUUUCAGCGCCUCGUGGACCGGCAGCAUGAGCGCCGAGCAAGCCCCGUCACCGACGUCGCCACUCUGCAGCUCGAGCGGUAAAGCAGCAGCGGCGCCGGUGUCGACAGUGUCCAAGAACAGCAGCCCUCUGUUGGUGCGCAACACGACCACCACCAGCAGCUUCGCCUCCCCGACGGCCCCGACGCAGGGGUCCAUGCCACGCUGGCUGACGGGCACCGGCACACUGGGGGCACAAGUCAUGGCUUGGCAACAGACGCAGCUGCAGCAGGGGCUGCAGCCGAUGCUCGCCUCCUACACACUUCCACACAGCUCAGCUGGCAGUGCGUUGCUGCAGCACGCGCGAUAUGCGCAGCCGAUUCAAGCAUUCAACUGCAUGCCAUUCACGACGGCGGGGACACACAGCAGCGGCAUCUGGGGUAUCGAAGUCCCCCUACAUCGGCGGUAACGUGGAGCUCCGCUCAGCCGCGGCGCUCCCGCACUGGGGUUGCCGGGGCAUCCGGUGCAGCAUACCACCAUCUUGCUGCACCCAACGGAAAUGGGGGCCAUCACACGACAAUGGUGGCGGUGGCGGCCUCUGGGCUCGGCGGCGGCCGAGUUAGCCACCCCAACAGCCUGCCUUCCUACUACGCCACCAGCGGCAAGCCAGCUCUGCACAUCAGCCGCUCCUUCGACCACAAGACGACCGCGAACCUCGAGCACCAUUCCCUUGGCGGCCUCGAGCACUCCGUGCGCAGCGUCGGCUCGUCUCUGCUGGGGCUUUAUGCCAACGCACCGCGCCUGCAAACCCGCUCACUGCUGUGGCGCGACCGCAGCACCUCCAAGUCCAGCAUGACCUCUAUCGUCACUUCCGUGGCAGCCGCCACCACCGCUGCGGGCACAGACCUCGGUGUCAGUUGCAGCAGCGCCGGCGGUGGGCUGCGGUCGGUGCAGCUGCGGCUAGAGGAUGGCCACGUGUACCGCGAUGUCAUGGGCGUGUCCGCCUCGUUCGCCUUCUGUGCGUGGUACUGCCUCCACGCGUCCAAGCCGUACCAGGACUGCGGAGGCGGCUCGACGGCCGUGGCGGGCACCGGUGCGACGAACGCGCCCGCAUCACACGCCAUGGCUGCACGCCAGGGAGGCAGUGGCGCCGCCGCCGCUGCAAUAGCUGUUGCUGGCUGCUCGUCGCCGUUUACGGCGGCAUCGAUGGCUCGGAGGCUUCUUCAGCGCGAUGGGCAGCCGAGCACUCUAGCGGAAAGCGCCGCCGGUGCAGCUGCCGAGUCUAGCUACGGCGAUGCCUCUCUCCAGCCUUCGGUGAAGAGCUGGCAUAAGGCCCCGAGCGGCACGCGCAGCGACGCCGUCUUCUGCGGCUGCAACGUGGUGGACAGCGACUUGCGCAACGGGUAUCUGAUCCUGGAAAUUACCAUCAAUGCGGCGGUGCUGCCGCAGUCGUUCUGGUCGCCUCGGCUGCUUCUAGACGACAACUGCUGGGCCCACCUCAUGAGCUGCUUCACUGGCCGCGAUGACCGCCUCACCUUGGAUGAUGAGCUUGAGUUUGUCUCCGAGGAAGGCACAGAUGACGACGCCCUCACUAUUGAUGGCAGCAGCACUGACGGACAGUCGUCGCCACUGAACGGCAGCAGCGGCCGAAGAUGGCGUGAGGAGGAUGGUGGAGGCAACGUCACGUUAUCGGCAGCCGCAGCGACUGCCGCGGCGGCGGGCAAAGAGACGGGCGGCGGCACCCGCGGCGUCCCUGACAGCGGUGGCGCUGGUGAUGACUACCACUUUCAGUCCGACUUCCGCCCUGCCGAGGUGUUCUGCCGCUCCCACAGCGGCAUCACCCCAGAUGGGCGGACGCUCAUCAUCCCCACGCACAACAACGGUGUGCACUUCCAGUCCUCCGAGGAAAUCCUCCUGCGCUUCAGUCCGCAACUGUUUGUGUCGACCGUGGACGAGGUCGAUGAGGUGGCGCUGGAGCAGGUUGGCCCCACGACGUCGACUGUGCCGCACCACCACGACACAGCUGCCGUGGAUGAUGAGGCGGUAGAGAGACGGUCAGCUGUGAGCUGUGUCUCGCGUCAGAUAUCGCGCAACGAAGGAGGGGAGACGCUCUUGGGCGGUGCGGCUGUUGAGCUGGCGGGACGGCAGGAUGCCUUCGGGCGCCUGCAGAAGGACGAGAAGGGGAGCUGCUCUUCGCCAACUGGCGGCAGCGCCGCUGCAGCGGCGACCGCCGGUGCAACGGAUGAUGUAGGUGGGGAAGGCCAAGCACCGGUGCCUCCGCAUCAAACUGGUGCAGAGGUGAUGCAGUGCAUAGUCGAAAGCGGCAGCAGAAACAGCACUGACAGCGUAGCAAUAUCGCGUGCCAAGACGGCGAAGGACUCGACCGCGGCUGCGCCGCGCUCGUCGAACUCCGCUUGUGCGUCGGGCAGCGUGAACAUCGACGCAGAAGCGAUGGAGCCGGCGGCGGAUGUGCCGUCGCGGCAGACCGCGGCGCCGGCGACUGAGGACACGAUGACGUCAACGGAGUCGCUUCCUAUACCAAAAGACGGCAUCGCUCGCUCUACAAAGUCCGCAACGUCGACAUCCCGACCUUGGCCACUGCGCCUGCGACCGACAGCGACAGUCACCAACUCCCCAGCGCUAGCCGCAGGGGCGCCGCCGCCGCUGCCCUUCCGCGCGCACACGCUGCCCAUGACAGCGGUCAGCCGGCAAGGAAGCAGCAGCAUCGCUGGACCGCCGUCGUCGUCGCCGACUCCGACGACGGCGACGCACCCGGCCGGGCAGCACCCCGCGUACAGCACGUUUCACCACGACGAGGUGCCGCUGAUGCCCGGCACAACAGUGACCGUGGGUUUUGUGCAGCUGCGCAACAGUCUUCUCUUCGCGAUCAAGCCCAUCAACCCCCUUAGACAUGGCUCUGAGGAGGAGCAUCGCGAAGAUCUGACGGCGCUGUCGCAGUCGGCCGAAAGCGUGAGCACCGCAACGGUACUGCGCCGUCGCUGGCAGUGGAAGCACCCUGAUAUUGCCGCCGAGCCGCAGCACCUGGCAAGCUGGACGCGUCUGUGCACGUGUAGGCUGUUGCCCUUGUACGGCAGUAAGCCGGCUUACCCGCGUGAGAGCUUCUACACGGUGUCGCCUCACCAGUACACUGUGACGAGUCACGGCGGCAGCCACGCCGACUCGGCGGAGGACAAGCGGCGGUUGCUGGAGUUUGUGCUGCAGCGCCUCCAGCAGCAGUAUCAGAUAGUCGUCGACAGCCCUGGCCUCGCCGCUGGCUCGCAGUGGCCGCGCGCCGACCCGUCGCCGAACGCGCGGUUGGAGAUGUCACUCGGGCACCAGACGCACACGCUCAAGGUGGGCGAGACGGCGAAGACGAUCUCGGUAACGCGCAUGCUGCACCGAGGCAUGUAUAGCAACGGACAGGUGACGCACAUGCUGAGGUACCGCUACUUGCUGUGGAACUACCUGGCAGACGAGUUCACCACGCGCGAGGUGCACAUGGAGGCUCAGGUUGGCGAGCGCAGCGCUUUCCGGUGGGAGUCGCUCGAUGGCUGGCUGCAGGAGCGGCCGAAGGCGUUCAUCCCACGCGGGCCAGACCUCUGGCUGCGCUCGCGCGAGGUGGCCGUCGCGCUGCUUCCCGAGGAUGCGGCCAACCCUCCGUCGUACGAGGAGUUCUGCCGCUUCAUCAACUACAGGUUCUCAGUGCAUCUGUCUACAUACGGAAAGGUGGCGUGGAGGCCGCACGAGGGCGGUGUGUCGCUCGACAUCUCUGAGCCGAUGCCCCUGAUUCUGCCCGCAACACCGCCGUUGAUGGAGGUGGCGCUCGUGCACGACAACCCGCUCACCUUCGACACACGCAACAUCGUCGACCGCGUCACCGGCCGCACCGUCGGCUUCGAGGUCCCCGUGCAGGAGCGGUUCACGAGCGUCGACAUCAGUCUGCCACAUGAGUACGACAGCCACUGCUGCUACUUCUUGAAAGUGUCUUGGCUGGCGUGCGCCGCCUGUAUCGUCGUCGACUGGAUGGGCUCCUUCAUCGCGAACGCCGCGCGCUUUCACUUCCACGCCGUCCCCGUGGGCUGCUACUACAACAGCCCCAAGGCGGAGUCGCUGACCGCGCACUAUGACGUCGAGGCGGCCUCGCCGGAUGAGGAGCCGGCGCUGCGUCGCGCGCUGGUGGAGCUACUCAUGACGCCGGCCUACCACUAUUACCCGGACACGCCGGUGCUGACGCGCAACUGCCGCCUCGUACACUUCAGCGGCCUGUGCUGCGUCAUUGUGCCCCCGAGCGCGACAACGGUGGCGCAGUGGUAUCAGAACGCGUUUGUGCGGCAAGGCUCUGUGGAGCAGCUGGAGCUGCUGGCACAGUUCAAGGAGGCGGUGACCAAGGCGCGGCUGCGUGUCGCGGACGUAGCCGCUGGCCACGCCUCUGCUGCUGGCGUGCCCCCACCCGGCAACGGCGGAAGUGUGAACUACUCUUAGUGAUUUCCGUGUGCCGUACUGCUGUUGCCGCCGCGGUGCUGGCGGCUCUCCGCUCGUAGCGUUGUUGCUGAUAUUCGAAACGGUGGCGUCUAGACAUUGCUGGGUGACGAGGCACGACAGUGGCGCAUAAGAAGGGAGCGCGGGUGGCUCGGACAAUGAUGGGCAUCCUGCUGAUGAGCGGGUGGCUUGUGUGCCAUAGAUGGAAAAGGCAGCACAUGCAGGCGCCUGAGGCCAAAGGCGGAGUGGGGGACCACCUAUGGGUACGCAAGCAGUCGUCGUGUGUGUGGAGUGUCUGUAUAUGUGUGUGCGCCCCCCUCCCCUCUCCCCGUUUCUUCUCACGCGUCUCGCUCUCCUCACCGGCGCCACAUCUUCACUGUAGUUCUUGUCACCCCCUUCCCCUUCCCCUUCUCCUCCCUCACCUCCUCUCUCUGUCUCCGUGCUCCUUAG